rnacentral:rRNA from 1 species
UGUGCCAGCCGCCGCGGUAAUACGUAGGGUGCGAGCGUUAAUCGGAAUUACUGGGCGUAAAGCGAGCGCAGACGGUUACUUAAGCAGGAUGUGAAAUCCCCGGGCUCAACCUGGGAACUGCGUUCUGAACUGGGUGACUAGAGUGUGUCAGAGGGAGGUAGAAUUCCACGUGUAGCAGUGAAAUGCGUAGAGAUGUGGAGGAAUACCGAUGGCGAAGGCAGCCUCCUGGGAUAACACUGACGUUCAUGCUCGAAAGCGUGGGUAGCAAAC